rnacentral:rRNA from 1 species
UACGGAGGGUGCAAGCGUUAUUCGGAAUUACUGGGCGUAAAGCGCACGCAGGUGGCUGGGUAAGUCGGUUGUGAAAGCCCUGGGCUUAACCUGGGAAUUGCAGUCGAUACUGCUCGGCUAGAGUAUGGGAGAGGGUAGUGGAAUUCCAGGUGUAGCAGUGAAAUGCGUAGAUAUCUGGAGGAACACCGAUGGCGAAGGCAGCCCCCUGGGCUAACACUGACGCUCAUGCACGAAAGCGUGGGGAGCAAACAGG